UUAGCCAUCAAGUUGUGGAGGAUUCAGGAGAAGCAGUAACAUUUCACAAGGGCAGCUUGGUCUCCUCCUCCUAUCCUGAGAAUAGAUGGGAUAAAUCAUGGCAAAGCAGUGUGCUCUUUUUAAAUAUACAAAUGAGUGGUAAGACUGCCAGACUCCCUCCCUGCUGCACCCCCGCGGUCCUUCCCCAAGCCUAAGAAGGUUGCAGGGUUAGCAGCAGCAGCAGCAGCAGCAGCAGCAGCAGCAGCAGCGAAGUUAUUCUUUCAGAUGGAGCAAAACAAAACAUUUGUAAAUCCAGAGCAAACCAGAUGAGCAGCUAACAGAGAGGAACUCUGUGGCAAGGGAAGGAAUUUAAUCAUAGUUAAUAAUACAGAGAGAAAGGAAUUGCAUUCCACUCAUUCAGAAAAUUAAAGCAUACUCCUACAGUCUCUGCAUGGUGAUUUUCCAUGAAGGACAGCAAUACAGCCUGCUGAGGAUACCUGUUGGCCAUUGCAGAGGUUCAGUGUUCGCCAUAGCAAGGGAUUGAAGCACGUCAAUGCUCUCCUCUCCAGUACCUUUGGAGUACCUCUCCCGACUGUAGGAGGAUGGGGUUGCGGAGACCAACUUGGAGCCUGCGGGGGUUCCUAUAAAGGCCUUCAUCUGGAACAAGAGCCUUAGAAUCCAAGGUGUUUUGAAAAAGCAAAGAGUUCGAGGGACUUACAGUUUCUGCAGGCUUCAGAAAGUGUUCAAUCCUUGAUUGUUUUGGGUGUCUCUCCAAUUCCACUGUCUUGUCAUAAAUGAAAUAUAUUGAUUGCUUGAAGCUGAAAGAAAUAAAGCAACAGAAGACAGAAAAACAAUAAUGAGACUACAAGAAGGGAUGUUCUACUCGCACUUGUCAACCACAAUUAAUAACAUCACCUCUAGCAUAGCUGUACAACUGUGGAAUCAUGUAGGGGAAAGAAGAUAAGGUGCAACCAUUAUUCUUGUCAGAACCAAUUCGGUUUGGGAAAAAUGCUUACAAUGUAUUCAUGCCCAGAGAUUGGAUUUAAUUCUCUUGUUAUCUGUGAUAGCUGUGCUAUACAUCUUGAAUAGCUUGAUUCUGUGUGGAUUUAUUUUGUUAAUAGCAGAAUGAACCAGCCAAUCAAGAAAUUUUGGAAAUAACUCACUUUUAGAUGUAGACUUAAUAAUAAUAAAACACUAGGGCCUUGA